GACGAACGCUGGCGGCGUGCUUAACACAUGCAAGUCGAACGGUGAAGCUCCAGCUUGCUGGAGUGGAUCAGUGGCGAACGGGUGAGUAACACGUGAGCAACCUGCCCCUGACUCUGGAAUAAGCGCUGGAAACGGCGUCUAAUACUGGAUACGAGAAGGGUCCGCAUGGGCACUUUCUGGAAAGUUUUUCGGUUGGGGAUGGGCUCGCGGCCUAUCAGCUUGUUGGUGAGGUAAUGGCUCACCAAGGCGACGACGGGUAGCCGGCCUGAGAGGGCGAUCGGCCACACUGGGACUGAGACACGGCCCAGACUCCUACGGGAGGCAGCAGUGGGGAAUAUUGCACAAUGGGCGAAAGCCUGAUGCAGCGACGCCGCGUGAGGGAUGACGGCCUUCGGGUUGUAAACCUCUUUCAGCAGGGAAGAAGCGAAAGUGACGGUACCUGCAGAAGAAGCACCGGCUAACUACGUG
rnacentral:rRNA from 1 species